GAGCGCCUGCAAUAGGCUGAGCAAGUUUAAACCACGCCCAGCCUCUACUGUGAUAGGCCAGACGGGUUGGAACUGUCUAUCACAGUAUAAAGAAUACUGUUUACAUACAUCUUGUCAGUUCUCUGUUUUGCCCUGCGAGGUGGGACAGAGAGUCCGUAUAUACGAAAAUUGCAUUGACCACUUAUUGCUUAGCAAAUAAAAAAUACAUAGUAUACAAUCGGUGACUCAUUGUCAUAUUUAUCCUGAUAUCAGAUUUGAAUUUACGCAACUCUAACACUAAUGAACAUUGUUCAGUUUCUUCCAAAUGUAAUGGUAUUGUGAGUUUCCAUAGUUUCCCGGUCGGUGUAGAGCUCAGAGAGAAAAAGGUGGUUGGUGGCAGUACGUUGUGACAACUUUACUGUCACCUAACACACAAAGGUGUGUACUACACAUUUCAUCGAGAGUGACUUUGUUGAGGGAAAAAUUGGGGGGCAACAAUACCUAGUCUUCGCAUGGAACUGGCACAUUCAAAAGAGACCCGGUGUUUGGGAAAGAAGAUUGAAACCUCCUGCUCCAACUGAGGAGGAUGAAUAACAAGGUGCGCUGCUGCCUAUGGACUGUGCCGUCUCUGAUCAGGUCCAGACACAUGAUUACUGGGCAGUCCCUGAACCUGCAGCCCUUGACACGCCCUAAUGACAAACCAUGAGCAUGUAAGAGAAAUUGAGGAGCUUUGAGCCAAGCUGGAGAAACUGACCGCUCAACAUGGCUUUGGUUUACAGCGAUCUGCUGGUUCUGACGAGGAUAUACAUUUUUACACAAGAUUUGCAAGCUACACCCACCCGAUGGCCUUCUGGCACUUGACUGAGCAGCCAGCAGAGACCAGGUUUAAAAGUCACAAGCACCAAUCCAUCUGAAACAAGUGUUACUCGAAGAAAACCGACACUGCUAUCAAUCGACGAGUUCUUCUUGUUUAUGACUCAUCUGUCGCUGGGUCUGAAGCAGAAGGAUUUGGCCCAUUGAUUCAGCAUCCACCAAUCGACAGUGAGACGGAUUAUCAUCUCUUGGGCCAACUUCCUCUACUGUCUGCUUGGAUCAGCACGGAUAUGGAUCCCCAGGGAAACCAUCAAAGCCCACCUGCCACCCGAGUUCAAGGACUAUCCAGAUACCCAGAUAGUGAUCGACUGCACUGAACUCCGCUGCCAGACAACAUCUUCACUACUACUGAAGAGUGAGAUGUUAGGAAUGUCACCACAUGGAGCUGUCACUUUUAUGUCAUCGUUGUGUGCUGGAUCUGUGCAUGAGGUUAGGGAGACCCAAUCCAUUGCCAGGCUGAGAGUACAUGUUGAAAGAAUGAUCUGCAGAGUAAAGGAGCACAAGCUGUUUGACACAAUCACCCCCCUGACCAUCUCAGGCACCAUCAACCAAUUAUUUGCCUGUUGGUCAACUAUCAAAACGGACCUUCGGUCAGAGCAUGGGCCAAGCCAGUGUAAAUGUACAUGUGUUUAUUUUCUAGCAGCAAAAUAAUAAUUUGUUAAUCUACAACAUGCAUCAAUCAUUUGUGUUGUAGUGAAUAUCAGUUUGUGUGGAUCUUUUAUUGGCUUUAAUUAGGCAAUGAGUUUAGGGGUGGGGGAAAGAAAUCUAGUAAACACAGAAUAGCCAGAAUACAAGACUGUAUACAAUGUUAGAGAUGUGUAAUUGAUUAACUGAACUGUUGAACAUUUGCUUAAAUACAUUAUUUUAAACAAAUAUAUUCUACUGCAGUUUUCUUCACAAGAACAUCAAGUUAUUUUUCAUAAAACCACUAAACUCGGCACCCAUGCAGGGGAUCCAUUCAGGUGAGAGACACUUCUGCAAGUAGUAGUAAACAUAAAAGUGUUAAACCUUCUCUCUUAUAGUUUUUGAAACAUGUAGAUCUUUAGAUAUCCUUUCAACUAGGAUGUCCUCCUGUGCACAGAUGACAGAACACACCAGCUACAACCUGCGAGAAGAAUUUGACCUUGCACCUGCCAGUAGUAAGCAUGAAAUCUCUUCAACUUCAGCUCUCCAUUCUAACCACGGAGCAUCUGGGUGCACUACGAAGCCACACGGAAAGAAGUUAACAUUAUUCAGUGUGCAAUACUACUGUAUAGCCACUGGCUCCAUGGCUAGCCCCCUCUUCAUCUCCACGGUCUGCACACCAGAUCCCUUGAACAUCCGCUCAGCUCGGUGGUAAGCUGAGGUCUCUCCCCGGACAUGGAAAACCUCUCGGAAACGAGAGGAUGCCAUUCCAGGCUGCUGCUCUGCUCCCAUGUAGCAACCUCGACUUUGUGUGACAUCUCGUAGGUUGUCUCUAAUGCCUUAACGUGGAACUGCUCCUGAUGGCUAAGGACGUAAGCACACUGGGAAGACUGAAGCCUGUUGCCAUCUAAUGGAACUAUUAGUGGAGAAGGGGCAUCUGCAAUCUUCACAAUUUCACGGGUCUUUGGCUGUGGAAGUAGAUAGGAAAGCACACUGCCAGCUUGCACUGGCCCAAAGGCGGACUCAACCAGGGGCACAUCAGCUGACAUUUCCAUUGUUUUCACAAGAGGGGCAGUAAGUGGAGAAAAGUUGGCAUACGUUUCUGAGACGCGGAGAAGCUUCAUGUCAGGCAUACGUAUAUCCAUUGAGUGCUUUGUAGAAAACCUCUGCAAAACAUUUUAAAACCUUAACAUCAGGCUGGAGAGAUUACUAGGACAGACUCAUGUAACUUUUCCAGAAACAGCACAAGCCUGAAAGUUUCAAUAAAAUGGAUUAAAAUAUAGAUAGAUGAUAUAUUAUAGAUGAUAUUAUUAUUAUAGAUUAUAUAUUUAUCCCGUCUUUGUCCCCAACAUUUGUCAUUACAUCGUAAAGACACCACUGUUUAAGAUCCACAUCUUUUGAACUACCCUGCUCUCUGCGCCUGACUCCUGCACUCACUACUUAUUGAAGCCGUGAAACAAACAAAUCAUAUGUAUUAAUAAUACAACACGUUUUAAUUGCCUUUUUGUUUUUCAUUUUAGUUAAAGUAGUGCCAUAUUGUUUAAAUUCAUUUAUAAAGUGAAAAAUGUUAGAUUUUUGAAUUAGACCAUUUGCAUUUGUGAAUAUGAAAUUUACCUAGUAUUAUUAGCAGUUGAAUUAAAUCUACUACAUUUUUAUCUAUGUCAGAAUUUCUGAAAUAAAUCAUUAUAUCAACCAACCAUCAAAUAGUACAACCGGUCCUAUUUUUUCGUAACAAAAUUCUGUAUGUCAAUCCAAAAAAAAUCUACUAAAAGCAAAUGCAAAAUUGUCUCCUUCUCCAUUCCACAGAAAUCACAACAGUUAUAGUCUAUAUUUAGCUUGAAACUUUCCAAAACAUGUUUCACAAGAUAAAUUCUAUGUAACAUUUUAAAUAUAACUUUGUUACUAAUACAAUAUUUGUUAGCAAUUUUCCAUGCUUUCCCCCAUUGUAUAUCACCAUAGAUAUUUGUCCAAAAUAAUCUUGCUGAGGGAAUUGUAGUAUCACAAACAAUAUUCCUAAUCAGUUUAUUACUACAUUUAUCUUUGAUGUUAAUAUUGCUAAUGAAUAUAUUUUCAUGUGAAUCUAUGUUACUUAAAUCAACCACAGAGGAAUUUAAAAGAGAUACAUGCCCCCUUGGAAUCGCAUCAAAAACAAUUGCAUAUUCUUUCGGGGUUAUUGGAAUAUUAAACUAAUCAAGAAAGAGUAGAUAUCCAUCCUCAAUCAGUAACUGACCAACCAAAAUAAUUUUAUUAUCAAACUAAUUACGACAAAAAAUAGACUUAUUUAUUUUUAGAUUGUAUAUCUUUGUUGUUCCAUAUAUAUUAUCUGUGAGGGGGAAAUUGUGGUUAUAUGCUAACAUCCAAGCUAAAAUUGCCUGCUUAUGGAAUUUGGCCAAUUUUACUGGGAUUUUAUCAAAAUUACAUAGAAGCAAAAAUUCUAAACCACCAACGGAGUCAAAUAAAUACUUAGGGAAGACAUUCUAAAUACUGUUCUGGUUCUUAACAUACUUCAGAAUCCAAUUUAUUUUAAAAGUAUUAUUUAGAGUAUUGAAAUCUAAAACCUCAAGACCUCCUUGUCCUUGGGUAUUUGUGAGAAUAUAUUUUCGUAGAUAGUGAGGCUUGUUCCUCCAAAUAAAAUUAUAAAGAAGCUUAUUUAAGUCCUUUACAAUUUUAGGGGGUAAGUUAAGUGAUAACGAGACAUGCACUGAUCUGGAUAACCCUUCAGCUUUGGACAAUAAAACCCGACCGUAUAAUGAAAUAUCUCUCAUCAACCAGAGGUUCAACUUCUUCUUCGUUUUCUCAAUAAUGGGGUUAAAGUUCAAUUCACUCCUUUGUAUUUCAUCCUUGCAUAUAACAAUUCCAAGAUAAGUAACCUUAUCUUUAAUUGGGAUAACAUAUACUUCCUGUAAAACACAAUCCUUGAGUGGAAAUAAGACUGACUUAUCGAUAUUAAUUUUCAUACCUGAAACUAAGGAAAAUGCUUCAAUACAGGAAACUGCUUUAGAAACCUCCUUCCUGUCUCUUAAGAUAUGGUGAUCAUCUGCCAGUUUAGAUAGUUUAAAUUCAUUGCCAAGUGCUGAAACACCUUGAAAAUUCCCUUGCUUGAUAUGAAGAGCCAUAGUUUGAGUGACCAAUAAAAAUUUACUAAUUGGGCAGCCCUGCCUAAUGCCACAGCCAAUAUCAAAUCGUUGGGAUGUCCCGUGAGCUAAUUUUAGAGCUAGAACAACCUCUAUAUACAGUUAAGAAUGCUUUCAAAAAAAAAUGUCACCAAACCCCCAAAAACGUGUUCUACAGUGUCAAAAGCUUUAUAAAAUCAACAAAUAUAAGAAAUCUAUCAUCAAGAAUGAGGUCAUUUUAGUCAAUCAUAUCUAAGACCAACCUGAUGUUAUUACUAAUGUGUCGACCAUGCAUAAAACCAGAUUGUUCUUCAUGAAUUAUAUGAUGCAAGCCUUGUUUCAACCUCUUAGCAAAUACAAGGGCAAAUUAUUUCCCAUCAUUAUUCAACAGGCUAAUGGGUCUCCAGUUGUAUCCUUAUUAGGUUUGGAAAUCAAAGUAAUUACACCUUGCUUUAAGGAACCCGAUAACAACCCUUUUUAUAUUGAUUCUUGAAACAUAGCAAGAAUGAAAGGAAUCAAUUUAUCAUUGAAUGCUUCAUAAAACUUGCUUAUUAAACCAUAAUUUCCAGGGGAAUGUCACGUUCUGACCAUAGUUCUUGUGUGUUUUCCUUGUUUUAGUGUUGGUCAGGACGUGAGCAGGGUGGGCAUUCUAUGUUGUGUCUAGUUUGUUUAUUUCUGUGUUUGGCCUGAUAUGGUUCUCAAUCAGAGGCAGGUGUAAGUCAUUGUCUCUGAUUGGGAACCAUAUUUAGGUAGCUUGUUUUGUGUUGGGGUUUGUGGGUGAUUGUUUCCUGUCUUUGUGUCUAUGCACCAGUUUUCACAUUUGUUGUUUUGUAAUUUGGAGUGUUCAGUUGGGAUUUAUUAUUAAAGAAGAUGAACACUCGCUGCGCUUUGGUCCUCUCCUUCCCAGGAAGAAAGCUGUUACAGGGACCUAUUGUCCUUAAGGCUUUUAAUACAGUCUUUUAUCUCAAUUUCAGAUAACUCAUCAUCACAAAAAUCCCUGAAAUCAUGAUCUAUCUUCUUAGCAAUGUUUGCUACAUUUUCUAAGAAAAGAUCCAUGUUGACUGGGCUGAUGUAUAGACUCUGAUAAAACUGGGCAACAUGCCGAGAGAUUUCUUUUGGAUUGUCACUGGGAGUAUUAUUAAUCAUUCAUUUACAUAUGGAAGUCUUUUCGCCUGCCUUUCCCCCCCUAAAUUAAAUAAAUAUUUUGUAUUUUUCUCUCCCUCUUCCAUCCAUUUCCAUCUUGUUCUUACAAAUGCUCCCUGGGCCUUUUCCUCAUAGAUACAGUCUAACUGUAUUUGCAAUGAUCAUAGCUCCAGUAAUUCCUGAUUAGUAAAUUCAGUUUUUUUGUUGUAUAAUCCAUUAUUCCCUUUAUGUCAUAUUCUUUCUUUCUCUUUGUACGAGCAAUUUAUUUCCCCAUUGAAAUGGCCAAAAGCCUUAUAUCAAAUUUCAUUAACUCCCAGUAACUUCCAAACGUAUUCAUAACACAGGCACAAUUCCAGUAUUUAUCAAUAAUUCAUGCUACCUCCUUCUUAAAUACUUAAUUCU